AUUGAACGCUGGCGGCAUGCCUUACACAUGCAAGUCGAACGGCAGCGCGGGGCAACCUGGCGGCGAGUGGCGAACGGGUGAGUAAUAUAUCGGAACGUACCCUGGAGUGGGGGAUAACGUAGCGAAAGUUACGCUAAUACCGCAUACGAUCUAAGGAUGAAAGUGGGGGAUGCGCAAGCACCUCAUGCUCCUGGAGCGGCCGAUAUCUGAUUAGCUAGUUGGUGGGGUAAAGGCCUACCAAGGCAUCGAUCAGUAGCUGGUCUGAGAGGACGACCAGCCACACUGGAACUGAGACACGGUCCAGACUCCUACGGGAGGCAGCAGUGGGGAAUUUUGGACAAUGGGCGAAAGCCUGAUCCAGCAAUGCCGCGUGAGUGAAGAAGGCCUUCGGGUUGUAAAGCUCUUUUGUCAGGGAAGAAACGGUGAGGGCUAAUAUCCCUUGCUAAUGACGGUACCUGAAGAAUAAGCACCGGCUAACUACGUGCCAGCAGCCGCGGUAAUACGUAGGGUGGGCAGCGUUAUCGGAAUUACUGGGCGUAAGCGUGCGCAGGCGGUUUUGUAAGUCUGUCGUGAAAUCCCCGGGCUCAACCUGGGAAUUGCGAUGGAGGCUGCAAGGCUAGAAUCUGGCAGAGGGGGGUAGAAUUCCACGUGUAGCAGUGAAAUGCGUAGAGAUGUGGAGGAACACCGAUGGCGAAGGCAGCCCCCUGGGUCAAGAUUGACGCUCAUGCACGAAAGCGUGGGGGGCAAACAGGAUUAGAUACCCUGGUAGUCCACGCCCUAAACGAUGUCUACUAGUUGUCGGGUUUUAAUUAACUUGGUAACGCAGCUAACGCGUGAAGUAGACCGCCUGGGGAGUACGGUCGCAAGAUUAAAACUCAAAGGAAUUGACGGGGACCCGCACAAGCGGUGGAUGAUGUGGAUUAAUUCGAUGCAACGCGAAAAACCUUACCUACCCUUGACAUGUACGGAAGCCACGAGAGAUCGAGGCGUGCUCGAAAGAGAGCCGUAACACAGGUGCUGCAUGGCUGUCGUCAGCUCGUGUCGUGAGAUGUUGGGUUAAGUCCCGCAACGAGCGCAACCCUUGUCAUUAGUUGCUACGAAAGAGCACUCUAAUGAGACUGCCGGUGACAAACCGGAGGAAGGUGGGGAUGACGUCAAGUCCUCAUGGCCCUUAUGGGUAGGGCUUCACACGUCAUGCAAUGGUACAUACAGAGGGCCGCCAACCCGCGAGGGGGAGCUAAUCCCAGAAAGUGUAUCGUAGUCCGGAUUGUAGUCUGCAACUCGACUACAUGAAGUUGGAAUCGCUAGUAAUCGCGGAUCAGCAUGUCGCGGUGAAUACGUUCCCGGGCCU
rnacentral:rRNA from 1 species